rnacentral:rRNA from 1 species
CGUGUAGGCGGUGCGGUAAGUUGGGCGUGAAAUCCCCGAGCUUAACUCGGGUGGGCCGCUCAAGACUGCCGUGCUAGGGUGCGGGAGAGGGAAGUGGAAUUUCCGGUGUAGCGGUGAAAUGCGUAGAUAUCGGGAGGAACACCUGCGGCGAAGGCGGCUUCCUGGACCGUAACCGACGCUGAGGCGCGAAAGCUAGGGGAGCAAACAGGAUUAGAUACCCUGGUAGUCCUAGCCCUAAACGAUGAGCACUGGGUGUGGCCCCUCACGAGGCCGUGCCGAAGCUAACGCAUUAAGUGCUCCGCCUGGGGAGUACGGUCGCAAGGCUGAA